rnacentral:rRNA from 1 species
UACGUAGGUGGCAAGCGUUGUCCGGAUUUACUGGGCGUAAAGAGCGCGCAGGCGGUUUUGCAAGUCGCGUGUGAAAGCCCCCGGCUCAACUGGGGAGGGUCACGCGAUACUGUUCGACUUGAAGGCAGGAGAGGGAAGUGGAAUUCCCGGUGUAGUGGUGAAAUGCGUAGAUAUCGGGAGGAACACCAGUGGCGAAGGCGACUUCCUGGCCUGUUCUUGACGCUGAGGCGCGAAAGCUAGGGUAGCAAACGGG